rnacentral:misc_RNA from 1 species
GAUGAAGAACGCAGCGAAAUGCGAUACGUAAUGUGAAUUGCAGAAUUCAGUGAAUCAUCGAGUCUUUGAACGCACAUUGCGCCCCCUUGUAUUCCGGGGGGCAUGCCUGUCCGAGCGUCAUUGCUGCCCUCAAGCACGGCUUGUGUGUUGGGCCUCCGUCCUCCUCCCGGGGGACGGGCCCGAAAGGCAGCGGCGGCACCGCGUCCGGUCCUCGAGCGUAUGGGGCUUCGUCACCCGCUCUUGUAGGCCCGGCCGGCGCUUGCCGACACAUCAAUCUUUUUUCCAGGUUGACCUCGGACCAGGUAGGGAUACCCGCUGAACUUAAGCAUAUCAAUAAGCGGAGGA